rnacentral:piRNA from 1 species
ACUCAGAAUUGUUCCUCUCCACG